UCCCUGGUGGCUCAGAGGUUAAAGCGUCUGCCUGCAAAGCGGGAGACCUGGGUUCGAUCCCUGGGUUGGGAA
rfam:Ovis aries breed Texel chromosome 17, whole genome shotgun sequence.